rnacentral:rRNA from 2 species
UGGGGAAUAUUGCGCAAUGGAGAAGAACUCUGACGCAGCAAUACCGCGUGAGCGAAGAAGGUCUUCGGAUCGUAAAGCUCUGUUAUCAGGGAAGAAGAAAAUGACGGUACCUGAUGAGCAAGUCCCGGCUAACUACGUGCCAGCAGCCGCGGUAAUACGUAGGGGACAAGCGUUGUCCGGAAUCACUGGGCGUAAAGGGCGCGCAGGCGGUGAUUUAAGCAGGAUGUGAAAGGCUACGGCUCAACCGUAGACAUGCACCCUGAACUGGGUCACUUGAGUAUUGGAGAGGCAGGCAGAAUUCCUGGUGUAGCGGUGAAAUGCGUAGAUAUCAGGAGGAAUACCGGAGGCGAAGGCGGCCUGCUGGACAAAUACUGACGCUGAGGCGCGAAAGCGUGGGGAGCAAACA